UGAGGAAUAUUGCACAAUGGGCGAAAGCCUGAUGCAGCAACGCCGCGUGAGGGACGAAGGCCUUCGGGUCGUAAACCUCUUUUCUGGGGGACGAGUAAGGACGGUACUCCAGGAAUAAGUCUCGGCUAACUACGUGCCAGCAGCCGCGGUAAAACGUAGGAGGCGAGCGUUAUCCGGAUUUACUGGGCGUAAAGCGUACGCAGGUGGCUUCGUUAGUCGGACAUGAAAGCUCCUGGCUUAACUGGGAGAGGUUGUUCGAUACUGCGGGGCUUGAGGUUGGGAGAGGGACGGGGAAUUCCCGGUGUAGUGGUGGAAUGCGUAGAUAUCGGGAGGAACACCAGCGGCGCAAGAGGCGUCCUGGCGCACACCUGACGCUGAGGUACGAAAGCGUGGGUAGCAAACAG
rnacentral:rRNA from 1 species